rnacentral:rRNA from 1 species
UACGAAGGGUGCAAGCGUUACUCGGAAUUACUGGGCGUAAAGGGUGCGUAGGUGGUUCUUUAAGUCUGCUGUGAAAGCCCCGGGCUCAACCUGGGAAUGGCAGUGGAUACUGGAGAGCUAGAGUGCGGUAGAGGGUAGUGGAAUUCCCGGUGUAGCAGUGAAAUGCGUAGAGAUCGGGAGGAACACCAGUGGCGAAGGCGGCUACCUGGACCAGCACUGACACUGAAGCACGAAAGCGUGGGGAGCAAACGGG